GACAUUUUGUUUAGCAAUUAUGAACCAAGUGAAGAUGUGCUAACCACACAGCUUGGGAUACUUGAAUAACAGCCAUACACUACGGCCCGGGAUACUAGGCAAGUGCGGCCGCGAAACUAGUAAUAGUUAGCGAUAGCGGAGAAACUCCAAAUGUUAAGAGUAUGCGCUAAGUAAUUCGGUUGAAAAUGUACGAUUCCUUACGGCGACGCAAUAGGAAGCCAGGUUAAGAGCCAGGCCAAAUCCAAGAAAGUGUAUUGGGGUGGUAGCCAAUAAAUACCUUGGAAAAACCACAAGUCGCUAUGUCGAUGAAAGCCAGAAAUGGCAUAUAAGUAAGGUUUGCGGUUGGAGUAGCCCAAGACAAGAAAUUGGAUUAAAUAGAAAUAUUGAAAUUUGAUUUCUGCUGAAUGGUUUGGGUGAAACUUAGAGGUAAGCAUUCCUCUCUAUUCUCGGUGCUUGGCACGGGAAUCGGAUGGUAUAAGGUCGCUACUUAUGCCACAGCCCGAUUUUCAAUAGUAACAUAAUAUUCAACAAGAAUUAUGAGGUACGGCGAAGGUCGCAGUAAUUGUUAAACAAAGU
rnacentral:sRNA from 12 species